rnacentral:misc_RNA from 1 species
UUGAAUCCUCAGGAUGUCGCUGGCUUCUCGCAAGGGAAGCAUGUGCACUCCGCCUUCAAUCCACCUGUGCACUAUUUGUAGGUCAAAGGGGGAAACCCCUCUGCCUAUGCUUUUUACACACACUUUAAAGUAUCAGAAUGUAACACAGUAGACCUUCAAGUCGAACCUAAAUA